rnacentral:rRNA from 1 species
UACGGGGGGAGCAAGCGUUGUUCGGAUUUACUGGGCGUAAAGGGCGAGUAGGUGGCCAUCUAAGUCAGACGUGAAAUCCCCCGGCUUAACCUGGGAACUGCGUCUGAUACUGGACGGCUUGAGUAUGGGAGAGGAACGUAGAAUUCCAGGUGUAGCGGUGAAAUGCGUAGAUAUCUGGAGGAAUACCGGUGGCGAAGGCGGGUCUCUGGGCCGAUACUGACGCUGAGGAGCGAAAGCGUGGGGAGCGAACAGG